CGUGAAACCAUGGAAGCAACGAUGGAAACUGGAUGUAAGGGCAGUUGAAGCCUGUUCAAUUGACAUUGGAAAUGAGAGAUGUGAGAGUAGUAGGUAAUGACCUUGAUGGAAAUCCUGCUAUUGGAGAAUGGUAGCUGAUCGAAAGGAGUAGAAAGUAUAAGCUUAGGGAUCUACAAGAACGUAUUGUGGUCAUAGAUCAAGACCGUAAACAAUUGCGAAAGGUGAAUGAGGGCUUGCAAAAGAGCAAGGAAGAGACACACCAGAAGAUGGACAAGUUAAGUUGAUAGAUAUACUUGAAAAAAUAUGUUCUAAUUAGGCUAUCAUAUGUUUACAAAUUUCUUAAAUUUUUUAUAUCGUUUACAUGCGUACAAGUUUCAGGCAAGUGUAUGAAACUAGUAAUCAUUGAUAGGAAAUCAAAGGAUGAGGGAGAUAAAUGCAUUACCAAUUCCACUUUACAAAGAAUUUUGUUGAGAGUUCACAAUUGGAUCUAACAUUUAGACGCGACCCUAGAAAUUUCAGGCUGCAGAUUAACAAGUUGGAGUCCACGAAAGACAAGGAGAAAAAAGAUGUUGGGACCUUUUAUUACCUCAACUAAGGCAUGCCAGAGGUUAAGUUCCAUCAAUUGGAUAUUGGGGACGGGGUCCAACCAAUAUCAGACCGUGGAUUAACAAUUUGGACUCCACAAAGACGGGGACAAGCAGAAAUCGACAACUUACACAAAUAUCACUAGUAGAAUAUGGGUUUUUCAAGUCUGUUUGGAUUUUAUAAAAACGACUUCCAAGGAUACUCUUAAUGGACCCCGGCUUCAAAAGGUAGACGUUUAACAGGGUAGAGUAAACCGAGCUCUCCUCGCAGUCCUAAUACCGAAGGUUAUUUUAUUAAUAAAAAAA